rnacentral:rRNA from 1 species
GACAGAGGUGCCGAGCGUUAGGCGGAAUCACUGGGCCUAAAGCGUGUGUAGACGGGUCGUUAAGUGUCUUGUGAAAUCCCACCGCUCACCGGUGGAACGGCUGGGCAUACUGGCGACCUUGAGAGGCCUAGGGGCAGACGGAACAAGCGGUGGAGCGGUGAAAUGCGUAGAUAUCGCUUGGAACGCCGACGGCGAAAGCAGUCUGCUGGGGGCCUUCUGACGCUGAGACACGAAAGCCAGGGGAGCGAACGGG